rnacentral:SRP_RNA from 1 species
GUUUCGCUUGCCGAGGCUGUCUCUGUGAGAAGGUUCUGUAGCCGUUGGUUGCUCGUGGAGGCGGGCAACCUCUGGCGGUUAAAGCCCAGAGUACUGGUCGAGGCCCUCAAGGGAGCAGACAAAAUCUGGCGCAGAAGCUAGCCACGAGAUCGCAGCCGAA